CGAGAGGGAGCUCCCAAGGCACCAAUGUUGUUGCUGCCAGUUCUUCAAAGAGUUAUUGAUGGUUCACAAAAGACCACUGUUGCUCUGCCAAUUCACAAAGCCUUGAUGAUUGUUAUGAUGGAACCAAUGUUGAGGCCUACAACAAUGAUGUCAUUGUUCCCAUGGGACCUCAAUCUCCAAAAAAUCAAGAGGCCGUGGGAAGAGGAAUGUGACAAUGAGAAGGUUCAGUUAAAGACUAUUGGUACAUUUUAUCAAAUAUUUUAUUUUUAUUUCAGCAUAUGCUCGCUUGCUGCUCUCAUGUUUUAAACCAUGUUAUAACUUCACUGCUUGUCUUGGAAAAUUUUAAUUUGCAGCAAUAAUUUCUG
rnacentral:misc_RNA from 1 species